rnacentral:lncRNA from 1 species
UAGAGGAACAUAACCAACAACACUGUUAUUUAUGAAAGCAGGUUUCUUAUAUUGUUUUACAGGAUCAGAAAGUGGAUAGUCCACAAUGGCAGUCUUCAGAAUGGAAAGCUAGAGGCAUCCGUAGCUGCCCAGUCCAAGAAGUUGGAGCCUCAGAGGAAGAAACACCAAUGACGUAAUCCCAUCAGGGCCUGGGGCCUGAGAACUCCCUGUGGAGAGUCACUAGUCAGAGUCCCCUUUGGAAGAGUGAAAGAACUAGAAUGUGAUGUCCUCAGGUGAUUGGAACAGGAGUCCAAACACCUACCGUAGAGAAAGAAAGAGAAAAUGGUGCUGUAUCCACAUUGGCUUCCUUUUUCUUUUGGUCUCCAUCUGUUCAAGCCCAAGCCCAUUGGGCUGUAUUCCCCACAUUCAGGGUGGGACUAUGCCCUCAAUUUGCUAUCCCACACAUCAAGAAUCUCUGAAAACACCCUCAUCAAUACACACAAAAUCACUUAAUCCAACAAGUUAACAAUCCAUAUUAACUCUUACAGCUAUACUCAAAUACAUAUAUUAACAAGACAGUCAUUUGACAUUUAGAACUUGACCCACCAUUCCUAUGUGUGGCAACUGGAUAUCAAGUGGGUGGGGAAAUAAACUGGAGCAUAAGGCCCUGAGUACUGAAGAACUCACUCUCAUUUUUCUUCACCAGAGACUAUGUUCUCCCACCUACUUAUACAACAAGCCGUCGUCCCUAUUUGUGGGAUGCAGACAUAAUACUGAGAAUAUAGUAAAUAAUCUCCUUUUAUCUCCCCAGUUAUAGAGCAACACAAAGUCAUUAUGAUCCAAAAUCUCAAAGGCCAAGGAGAAUGUCCUUCACCCUCAAAGAGUUGUGGGCAUAUGUCCUGCUUGUCCUUCCCCUCUCAAAAGGCAUCACCUCCCCUUUUCCCAACAUCCACAAUUCCAAGAAACUCCUUUUUUCUUAGCCAAAUCCAUGUUCCCAGCUAGGAGAAGAAAGGAAGUUCUCUCGCUGUACACAAGACCAUACCAAAAUAAUAAAGUCCAAUUUGGAUGUCCACCACAGCUGCUUUGUGGCCAAGCAGCUGAGAACUGAGGCACCCACUGCCAAAUGCAAUCAGCACAGAUUUCUCUCUUCAACUGUGACCAAGGCAGAUGGGCCCCAUUGGCCUUGUUGAGACCAGUGCUAAGUCAAUUGAGAACAUUGCAGCCACUUUAAAUACUCUUUUUACUACUUUUAAACACUUUUUUCCAUAAAGUUGUGAAGAGGCCAACAAGUGUUUCCUAAGUCCAAUGUCCACCCACUCCCUCAGGGAAUGCUCUGUCCUUUCAAAGGAUCUUUGACUGCAAACUUGAUCCUCACUUUGGGAAUACUUGUUAAAACAGAACAAAGUUUAUCCUGGCUAUUUCUACCAUAUUUUCAAACAUUGGGUCCCUAAAAGCUGAGUUAAUCAUUCACAGGAUUAACUACACUUUAAAAGUUAAUGGUUGAUGACAAAAAAAAAAAAAAGUACUUAUGGUCUUGGUUCUUCCUGAAACCAGAUUGUGGACACAAAGUUCUAGAGAGAAAUCAACCAAUACUAGAUAGGAAACAGACUAUAAACUCAUUACCAACAUUGGGCCUGUAAUACCUAUAAACCUCUUACAACUGAAUGCAGCCUUGUAUGUUCCCAGAAUAUGAAAAGUGUUUACAAAACAGUUAUCUCAAAACCAAUAUUCAAAAUAGUGCAAUAAAAAAUAAGCAACUUUGUGGCCUUUAUUCUCAAAGAGCUA